rnacentral:rRNA from 1 species
GACCAGACUCCUACGGGAGGCAGCAGUGGGGGAUAUUGCACAAUGGGGGGAACCCUGAUGCAGCGACGCCGCGUGGGCGAUGGAGUGCUUCGGUAUGUAAAGCUCUAUCAGCAGGGAAGAAAAUGACGGUACCUGACUAAGAAGCCCCGGCUAACUACGUGCCAGCAGCCGCGGUAAUACGUAGGGGGCAAGCGUUAUCCGGAUUUACUGGGUGUAAAGGGAGCGUAGACGGCAUGGCAAGUCAGAUGUGAAAGCCCGUGGCUCAACCCCGGGACUGCAUUUGAAACUGUCAGGCUGGAGUGCAGGAGAGGUAAGUGGAAUUCCUAGUGUAGCGGUGAAAUGCGUAGAUAUUAGGAGGAACACCAGUGGCGAAGGCGGCUUACUGGACUGUAACUGACGUUGAGGCUCGAAAGCGUGGGGAGCAAACAGGAUUAGAUACCCCAGUACA